GUGGGGAAUAUUGGACAAUGGGCGAAAGCCUGAUCCAGCCAUGCCGCGUGUGUGAAGAAGGUCUUCGGAUUGUAAAGCACUUUAAGUUGGGAGGAAGGGCAGUAAGCUAAUACCUUGCUGUUUUGGCGUUACCGACAGAAUAAGCACCGGCUAACUUCGUGCCAGCAGCCGCGGUAAUACGAAGGGUGCAAGCGUUAAUCGGAAUUACUGGGCGUAAAGCGCGCGUAGGUGGUUUUGUAAGUUGGAGGUGAAAUCCCCGGGCUCAACCUGGGAACUGCCUCAAAAACUGCAUGACUAGAGUACGGUAGAGGGUAGUGGAAGUUCCUGUGUAGCGGUGAAAUGCGUAGAUAUAGGAAGGAACACCAGUGGCGAAGGCGACUACCUGGACUGAUACUGACACUGAGGUGCGAAAGCGUGGGGAGCAAACAGGAUUAGAUACCCCAGUAGUCC
rnacentral:rRNA from 1 species